GCCAACGUAGCUCAGUAGGUAGAGCAGCGGUUUCGUAAACCGCAGGUCGGCGGUUCGAAUCCGCCCGUUGGCUCCA
rnacentral:tRNA from 1 species